rnacentral:lncRNA from 1 species
UUAUGAUUCCUAUUCUUCAUGGAAGCCUGUCUGGAUUCAUAUGCUUUUUUUUCUCCGUUGUCAAAAUUGAUGGAAGUACAGACAUGGAUUUAAGAGCUUUGAUGCUUUUGGAUGUUUAAUUCAGAUUUGGUAAAUGACGUGGAAUAAGAUACUGCCUGAACAAGCUGAAAUGCCUUGAAGACUUUUGGUUCUG